UACAGAGGUCUCAAGCGUUGUUCGGAUUCAUUGGGCGUAAAGGGUGCGUAGGUGGCGCUGUAAGUCGGGUGUGAAAUUUCGGAGCUUAACUCCGAAACUGCAUUCGAUACUGCGGUGCUUGAGGACUGGAGAGGAGACUGGAAUACUUGGUGUAGCAGUGAAAUGCGUAGAUAUCAAGUGGAACACCAGUGGCGAAGGCGAGUCUCUGGACAUUUCCUGACGCUGAGGCACGAAAGCCAGGGGAGCAAACGGG
rnacentral:rRNA from 1 species